rnacentral:rRNA from 1 species
GCAUCGGCUGACUACACAUGCAGUCGAGGGGUAGCACAGAAUAGCUUGCUAUUUGGGUGACGACCGGCGCACGGGUGAGUAACGCGUAUGCAACCUGCCUAUAAGAGGGGGAUAGCCUUUCGAAAGAAAGAUUAAUACCGCAUAAUACUAUUUACCUGCAUGGGUAAAUAGUUAAACUAUUUGGCUUAUAGAUGGGCAUGCGUUCCAUUAGAUAGUUGGUGAGGUAACGGCUCACCAAGUCAGCGAUGGAUAGGGGUUCUGAGAGGAAGGUCCCCCACACUGGUACUGAGACACGGACCAGACUCCUACGGGAGGCAGCAGUGAGGAAUAUUGGUCAAUGGGCGAGAGCCUGAACCAGCCAAGUCGCGUGAAGGAUGAAGGUCUUAUGGAUUGUAAACUUCUUUUAUAAGGGAAUAAAAAAGAUCACGUGUGGUUUAUUGCAUGUACCUUAUGAAUAAGCAUCGGCUAACUCCGUGCCAGCAGCCGCGGUAAUACGGAGGAUGCGAGCGUUAUCCGGAUUUAUUGGGUUUAAAGGGUGCGUAGGCGGUUUAUUAAGUCAGUGGUGAAAGUUUUCGGCUCAACCGGAAAAUUGCCAUUGAAACUGAUAGACUUGAGUGUAAACGAGGUAGGCGGAAUUCGUGGUGUAGCGGUGAAAUGCUUAGAUAUCACGAAGAACUCCAAUUGCGAAGGCAGCUUACUAGGCUACAACUGACGCUGAAGCACGAAAGCGUGGGGAUCAAACAGGAUUAGAUACCCUGGUAGUCCACGCAGUAAACGAUGAUAACUAGCUGUUUGCGAUACACAGUAAGCGGCACAGCGAAAGCGUUAAGUUAUCCACCUGGGGAGUACGCCGGCAACGGUGAAACUCAAAGGAAUUGACGGGGGCCCGCACAAGCGGAGGAACAUGUGGUUUAAUUCGAUGAUACGCGAGGAACCUUACCCGGGGCUUGAACGUAAGGGAGACAGUUCUGGAAAACAAAAUCUCUAGCAAUAGCUGCCCUACAAGGUGCUGGCAUGGGUUGUCCUCCACCUCCUGGCCCGGGAGGGUGUCGGGCUUAAAUUGCCAUAAACGAAGCGCCACCCCACAUUCGAUUGGUUACUAAACAGGGUCAAGCCUGAAGGAACUCUUUUCGAGAACUGGCCGCCGUAAGA